rnacentral:rRNA from 1 species
CCUACGGGAGGCAGCAGUGAGGAAUAUUGGUCAAUGGGCGAGAGCCUGAACCAGCCAAGUCGCGUGAGGGAGUACUGCCCUAUGGGUUGUAAACCUCUUUUGUCGGGGAGCAAAAGCCGGACGUGUCCGGCUGUGAGAGUACCCGAGGAAAAAGCAUCGGCUAACUCCGUGCCAGCAGCCGCGGUAAUACGGAGGAUGCGAGCGUUAUCCGGAUUUAUUGGGUUUAAAGGGUGCGCAGGUGGAUUUUUAAGUCAGCGGUAAAAUCGUGGGGCUCAACCCCAUCCAGCCGUUGAAACUGGGGAUCUAGAGUGUGCGAGAGGUAUGCGGAAUGCGUGGUGUAGCGGUGAAAUGCAUAGAUAUCACGCAGAACCCCGAUUGCGAAGGCAGCAUACCGGUGCACAACUGACGCUCAGGCACGAAAGCGUGGGUAUCGAACAGGAUUAGAUACCCUUGUAGUC